rnacentral:rRNA from 1 species
GACGAACGCUGGCGGCGUGCUUAACACAUGCAAGUCGAACGAAGUGGCGAACGGGUGAGUAACGCGUAAUCAACCUGCCCUUCAGAGGGGGACAACAGUUGGAAACGACUGCUAAUCCCGCAUACUGAAGGAGGGGAUUGCGUCUGAUUAGCUAGUUGGGGGGGUGACGGCCCACCAAGGCGAGGAUCAGUAGCCGGUCUGGGGGGAUGAACGGCCACAUUGGGACUGGGACACGGCCCAGACUCCUACGGGGGGCAGCCGUGGGGAAUCUUCCGCAAUGGAGGAAAGUCUGACGGAGGCACGCCGCGUGGGUGAUAACGGCCUUCGGGUUGUAAAGCUCUGUUAAUCGGGACGCGGUACCGAAAUAGAAAGCCACGGCUAACUACGUGCCAGCCGCCGCGGUAAUUC